UCUGCUGUUGCACAGUGAGAGCAGCCCUGGACGGUGCUCAGGCCCGUGGGCAAACUUGACCUAGGGACCCUAACGUUUGCUGUCCUAUCAGGUUUGACAAGUCUGCACAUCCUUAUGUUUGGGGGCAUUAUUGUGCCUGCUUCCCAUCCUGCGUGUCCCCAUGAGGCUCUGACCAGGCCAAAGGCGAAAACGAGAAAAAUGAGAAGAGAAACAUAAUCCCUUGAAAAAUGCUUCAGGUGGAUAAAAUAAACGCUGCAUCUAAAGACAACAUUCAGAAUGAUCUAGACACACCUAGUUUCUAGAAUAGGGUAAAGCAAGAGGCCUCUGACAGCACUAGUUUGACAAAGUUACCUCUGGGUCAUUUAUUCACUCAUCAAACAGUCAUUGGACACUGUGCCAAGCAGUGGAGCCAGAGAUGGACACAGCACUGCCUUUGCCCUUGGGAGACUCAGAGCUGAGCAGGGGGCAGACCUGUGAAAACAUCUAUCCGUGAGGAGCAAGAACCGUUCACCCAGUGCAGAGGACAGAGGUCAUCGCAGUCAUGAGGAUGGCCAAGCAGCCAUGUGGAGAAGCCGUGACGUGAGAGACUGAGGCCCUCCUGCCAACACCAGCACCAGUUUGCCAGCCACGUGAGAGAUUGUCCAGUCCUUGGGAAGCCCUGAGGUGGCUGCAGCCUAGAAUGACACUUUAACUGCAACCUUCUGAAUGACCUUGAGGCAUAACCAUCCAGGGAAGCCCCUCCCCAACUCCUGACCCGAAGAAACUACAUGAGAUACUAAACGUUUAUUAUUUCAAGCCACCCAAUUUUGAGAUAACUUGUUAUGCAGUAACAGAUCACUUAUACAUCUUUUUAUUUCUUCCAGACUUUGUACCUUUUGCAUUUGUGCAUAUCCAAAUAGUGGUGAUUGAUGAUGAUAAUCAUAAUCAUAACCUAGUACACACCAUGGACUGUGCGUGCAAUAAUUCAGGAAUAUUACCACUGGUGGAUAUGGGGUGAAACGGUGGAAAGCAGUGCAGGGCAAUGAUCCCUGGAGUAAGUAGGGCUCCCCAUGAGUGGUCAAAGAAGAAGACGAGGAGCCUGA